CUGUUUUAUGACAGAUAAACAGCAGUCCUCAGUCAGCGUCAGACACACAGAAUAUUUUCCAAUUUAAUUUAAUCACGUAAAGCCUCUCUAGUCGAGCCAUCGCUGUUUCUGCAAGACUUGUUGUCGUCAUGUUCUUUCCCGUAUUUGAGCAGAAGUGACACUCCAGAGAAUACCGCCUUACACGCUUCGCUGGAGAGAGAGGGAGCAGGCACCGAGGAGAGAAAGGUGAGAUGCUACCCAACGAAUGAACAUCCCACCUGAAAGAUGCUUUGUAUUGGCGCUGGCGGACUUUGACCACUACAACACGAGGACCAUCUUUCUGAGUUGAGGAGAACGGGUUGUGGCCUACAGAAGCUUCACUUUCCUGAGGGUAAUGGACAAUUUCUCAUUAUUCCAUCAACUCAUGGAGAGUCAUCAAGAAAGAACAAAAGGGCCUGUACUUUCUAAGAACACUUGAGAAAGCUCAGAAAUGUCUUUUUGCAGAUAUUGAAAAUUGCUCAGCUGCCCCGCAUGAGAUCUACUGAAAGAAUGCUUGAGAGGGUUAAGGACAUUUCCUAAUCCGUCAUGUAAAACAGCAACCUUUGAAUGCAAAUAGGAAUUAAUGUGUUUAUUACUGUUUCAAAAAGUUUACGUUUAAACACACUAAUAAGUGCAUUUUCUUCCCUUUUUGCACUAACAGGGUAGAUGUUUACCGUUGCUCCCAUACCUUGGCUCCAACUUCAGACAAGAGAAGGGGAUUACAGUAAAUGAAAACUGUCUUAACAUCAGUGAGGGGAAAAAAGGACAAAUUAGAAAUAAAGUACCCAAAAGUUUUGGCUGUUGAAGUAAAAGGAUGACACAUCACUGGAAAGAUAAACACAGCGCACAGUGGGAUAGAAAAAAAAAACACUGAGGAGACUAAUAGAAACCAGAGAAAGAUAGGGAGGAAGACAAAGAAAGUAUUAAACAGGCAGACAGAUAGAGGGGAGCAAACAUUAGAGAGCAAAACUAAAACACAGAUAGUGGUGGGAAGGCAAGAAGCAAAGGGGAGGAGGUGGUAAUAUGGAAAAUGUGCUCCUUACUACUGUCUUUGUGCAAUGGUUAAGUCAUAGAGCUUGUAUGAUUCACUAGAGGAGUGCUGACCCAUCUGGAACACAGAUGCACGUAUACUGCAUAUGUGUGUGCGUGUGGAAGAAAAAACCACCACAUGCAAAAAGUUUUAAGCUUUCUUGAGAAAAAGGAUUUAUCUCAGACAACCAUCUCACACCAGUCAUCUACAGUAAAUACACUGGAUCAGUUCACAGGAAACCAACCUGACUAAUAUUUAAAGGCCUGACAGGAAAUAUAAAGUAUUAUUAUAUGUAUUCUAAUAUUCACGAACCAGCAUUUGUGUUGUAAACUGAGAGAUGACAAAACCGCACACGGUUACUUGAUUUGUUCACUGGGCUUUCUCUGUUUGCACAGUAUUGAUAUGCCUGAAGUUCCUAAUAAUUUUCAAGAACAAAUUUCUUGCUAAUGGCUAUCGCUUUUGUCGGAUGAAAUUCAAACACUGCGUGUUACAGCAGCUGGGAAAAGAAUAAAAAUACUAUAAUCAAUAAUAAAAGCAACAAUGUAAAAGUAAAGGUACGAGAGGCCAUUACAAGAGACUUAUAAUGUGAGACAAUGGAGAAAUAAAUUGUAAACGCAACAGUGAUAAAAACAAAGAAAAUGAUGUCAAGUUAAGCUAGCUGAGCUAAAACAUUAGCUAAAAAUAACAGCGGUUGGCCUGCUCCAAAUUUCUGACUCAGGCGACUGUUGUGUCAUCUGAGUGUCUUAGCAAUUUACAUGAUAGCUACUUACAUAGUAUCGUGUUUAAAGGCUGUGACUACAGCUGGAUAUUUUAAGAGAGAUGGUCACACAUGCUGCCACUUAGCAUUACCCAUCCAUUUGCUAGCGCUUGUGUAAUUGCAAUACUACCCCAGACUAAUCCUGUUUACCUGCUCAGCAUGCUAUCUUUGACAAGAAAGGCACAUUUUAUCCAUGCUUUAUUACUGUAAUUUAAAGUAGCAUGUUCAUACACAGCAGGGAUGUCAGACAUAAGGUCUGGGGCCCAGAAUUGGCCUGGCAAAGACUCCGGUCCGGCCCACUGGAAGGCUUUGGAAAAUGUAUAGGAAGGCAUAGAUUUUGAGCUUUAAAACAUAUUUUCAUACAUUUUAAAGCUUUUCCUACUGAUCAAGACCUCCCCCAUUCCCAUCAAACUAGUUAAGUAAUAGAUAAACAAUUAAUAACAGAACAGUUCCUGUUUUUCAAUAUCUAAUAUAGAAAUUUCUAGUUUUUAUAGUGGGUUCACAGUGUCUAAAAGAAAGAUAAAAAAAAAAACCUUUUUCUGUGAAUUAAUCAAAACUAUGUUUUAUACACACACUCUGGUCAAUCUGGGUGAUCGGCUGCCAGAUCCAUUUCUGUAAACGUAUGCUUUUUUGAUAUAGAAAAUAUUGUUAAUAUUGCACUUCUUACUAAGACAUCUCACUAAUCAUUGCUGUUGCCACUAGUCGGUAUCAGACUUGCUAGUCAUCUAAUCUAAUUGUUAAAAUUUUAUUUGAUGCCCAAUGCUGGUAAACUAUUGUGUUCUAAAUGUUAUGCAGCCAUCUGCCACCAGAUGGCGCAUCAUUGAUGAGAAACGUUAUAAAUUUGUUAAUCUUGGUCUGAUCGUUAUGUUAACACUAUGAGAAUGAGUUAGCAAUACAAGUGGCGGAAAUUAGGUUUCUCUGAAAGGGUGAUGGACUCUCCUUUAGCGAUAGGGUGAGGAGUUCAGUCAUGUGGGAAAAGAGACUGCUAAGGCUCCUUGGUAAGAUGUUCUGGCCGGCCAGACUGGAGAGAUUACAUCUAUCGGCUGGCCUGGAAAAGACUUGAUGUUUCCCAGGAAAAGCUAGAGGAGGUGGUGAGAGGGAGGUUUGGGCUUCCUUGCUGCUGUCCCUGCCUGACCUGACUUCAGAUAAAUAGAAAAAAUAGCUGGAUGAUUUAUUGUUUUGUUAUUUUAGAUUUUAACUUUUAUUAAAGUGUUUGUCAUGAAAUUUCAAACAGCGUGGAUCAUUUAUAAUGAUGUGUUUAGUCACAUUUUUUUACACAGUCAAUCGACUAAAACAUUAGUCGUCAGGAACAUCCAUAGUUUAGAUACAUAAUAAAAAAUUGGGUGGUCCACAA